rnacentral:rRNA from 1 species
GACGAACGCUGGCGGCGCGCCUAAUACAUGCAAGUCGAGCGAACAGAUGAAGUGCUUGCACUUCUGACGUUAGCGGCGAACGGGUGAGUAACACGUAAGGAAUCUACCUAUAAGCGGGGGAUAACAUUCGGAAACGGGUGCUAAUACCGCAUAAUAUCUUCUUCCGCAUGGAAGAAGAUUGAAAGACGGCUCUGCUGUCACUUAUAGAUGACCUUGCGGUGCAUUAGUUAGUUGGUGGGGUAACGGCCUGCCAAGACGAUGAUGCAUAGCCGACCUGAGAGGGUGAUCGGCCACAUUGGGACUGAGACACGGCCCAAACUCCUACGGGAGGCAGCAGUAGGGAAUCUUCCGCAAUGGGCGAAAGCCUGACGGAGCAAUGCCGCGUGAGUGAAGAAGGCCUUCGGGUCGUAAAACUCUGUUAUAAGAGAAGAACAAAUUGUAGAGUAACUGCUACAGUCUUGACGGUAUCUUAUCAGAAAGCCACGGCUAACUACGUGCCAGCCGCCGCAGUAA